ACAUUACCCAUUUAACUUUACUGAAAAUACACAUUAGAGUACGCACAUUCACAUUUGAAAGCUAGGGUUUCUCAUUCUCACCAAAACAGCGUCGUCGCCACUCGCCUCCACGGCUCCACCCUUCUCCCACCGCCAAUCGCCAGUCCCCACUCGCCUCCACGACUCCACCUUCUCUGUCUCGGUGUCUCCGAUCAACAAAGCUUUUGUCUCCGUCCUGAUAAUUGGACAUUCUUUGGUUUUUGUGUUUGGAUCUUUAAAAGGUAGAAGUGACCAUGGAAGCAUUUCUCAUGAAGAUUGGUUAUCACAGAAUACUAAUAUGAGUUGUAGGUUUACAAGGGACGGAUAAUGGAUGUUUACAACUUACAAGUUACAACUGUUUAUGGUCGUAUUUAUUGUUUAUAAUGUUUAAUGUUUGUACACUUUGAAUUAUUUUGAAUGUUUGUGGUUGUUUAAAAUUUGAACUGUUUAAGUUUGAAUGAUUAUUAUUUUCGAUGUUAGAAACUUGGUUGUGUCGAAUAUAGGUUAAGAUUUAGUCUUAUGAUGAAACAUUUUUUUUGUUUUGUUUUUA
rnacentral:lncRNA from 1 species